rnacentral:rRNA from 1 species
GACGAACGCUGGCGGCGUGCUUAACACAUGCAAGUCGAACGGAAAGGCCUGCUUUCCCUUGUGGAUUGCGGGUACUCGAGUGGCGAACGGGUGAGUAACACGUGAGUGAUCUGCCCCCAACUUGGGUAUAAGCCUGGGAAACUGGGUCUAAUUCCCGAUAGGACUGCAGGGUGGUGCCUGUGGUGGAAAACGAUUUUCUAGUGGUUGGGGAUGAGCUCGCGGCCUAUCAGCUUGUUGGUGGGGUAAUGGCCUACCAAGGCGGCGACGGGUAGCCGGCCUGGGAGGGUGGACGGCCACAUUGGGACUGAGAUACGGCCCAGACUCCUACGGGAGGCAGCAGUGGGGAAUAUUGCACAAUGGGCGGAAGCCUGAUGCAGCGACGCCGCGUGGGGGAUGACGGCCUUCGGGUUGUAAACUCCUUUCGACCGCGAGGAAGCCACCUGUUGGAAGGGUGGUGACGGUAGUGGGAGAAGAAGCACCGGCUAACUACGUG